rnacentral:rRNA from 1 species
UACAGAGGGUGCAAGCGUUAAUCGGAAUUACUGGGCGUAAAGCGUGCGUAGACGGUUAUUUAAGUCAGGUGUGAAAGCCCCGGGCUCAACCUGGGAAUUGCAUUUGAGACUGAAUAGCUAGGGUGCGGAAGAGGGAAGCGGAAUUUCCGGUGUAGCGGUGAAAUGCGUAGAUAUCGGAAGGAAGACCAGUGGCGAAGGCGGGUCUCUGGACAGUUCCUGACGCUGAGGCACGAAGGCCAGGGGAGCAAACGGGG